rnacentral:lncRNA from 1 species
CGCCCCUGCCCUUUGGAUCACCCCGCCUCAGCUGCCAGCGCCCCUCGGAAGUCUGACCAUCUCAUCCUGGCAUUCAAGGACCCACGUGAUUCAGUCUCACUGCCUCUCAGAGUUAUGUCUCUUUUUGGCUACAGGCAACCCAGCCUGCAAGCAAACUGUCCUGCUUUGGACCCUGCUGUGUCACUCUCCGCACCAGCCUUUGCCUCUGCUCUUCGCUCUAUGAAGUCCUCCCAGGCUGCACGGAAGGACGACUUUCUCAGGUCUCUUAGGGAUGGAGACUCAGGGACAUCAGAACACAUCUCAGCGGUGGUAAAGAACCGCAGUCAUCGAACUGGAGUCCCAUUGAUUCCCUCCCCCUCGCCGCCCCAAAUCUGGCACCUGCCCAAGUAAAAAGUUAUGACACCAAGCACAGUGCUCCGAAGGCGGAGGCGGAUGAGCGCGGGAGGUCUCCGUAGGCGACGCCCUCCCACCCCUUCCCUUGUUCUCAUGGCACUCCUAGCUACUGGCAAAGCAGUUGCUGUCCAUUGUGGGGUGCAGUCCGGAAGGGAGCCCUGGCAGAUCAGUGAGAGAAUUCACAGACCUUCAGAUGUUACCGCAGAUCUGGCCCUGGUAAGCAUCAUUCUACUCCGUGCCUCCGUAAGAUCCACUUUUUUAGCUCCCACAUUUGAGUGAGAACAUGUGAUAUUUGUAUUUUUGUACCUGUUUAUUUCACUCAACAUAAUGAACUCCAGCUCCAUCCAUGCUGCUACAAAUGAAAGGAUAUUAUUCUGUUUUAUGGCCAAAUAAUGUUUCUUUGUGUAUAUGUACCACAUUUUCCUUAUCCAUUCAUUCAUUGGUGGAUUCUUAGGUUGAUUUCACUUCUUGACUAAUAUGAACAGUGCUGUAAUAAACAUGGGAGUGCAGAGAGUUCUUAAGUUUACUGAUUUCCUGUCUUUUGGAUAUAUCCAGCAGUGGGAUUGCUAGAUCAUAUGGUAGUUCUACUUUUAGUUUUUUGAAGCGCCUCCAUACUGUUGUUCAUGGUGGCUGUCCUAGUUUAUAUUCCCACUAACAGUGUAUGAGUGUUCCCCUUUCUCCGAAUCCUUGCCAACAUCUGUUAUUUUUUGUCUUUUUGAUAAUAGCCGUUCUAACUGGGGUGAGAUGGUAUCUCAUCAUGGUUUGAUUUGCAUUUCCCUGAUGAUUAGUGAUAUUGAACAUUUUUUCAUAUACCUGCUGACCGUUUGUAUGCCUUCUUUUGG